GGCGGCAAUAGCGCGGUGGUCCCACCUGACCCCAUGCCGAACUCAGAAGUGAAACGCCGUAGCGCCGAUGGUAGUGUGGGGUCUCCCCAUGUGAGAGUAGGGAACUGCCAGGC
rnacentral:rRNA from 1 species